rnacentral:lncRNA from 13 species
ACACUGGCCACUCAUUUGCCGUGACCUUGGGGAGGACAGAGAGGCAGGGCUUGGGGCAGCGGCCCCGGUGGCAGUGGAGUGGCCUGACCGUGAAGGCUGGGCAGCAGCCACUCUUGAGUCCCUGCUGCCAUGGUCCCCUGAAGACCAUGGUGGUUAAGCCUUUUUGCAAGGGCAGGUGGCAGGUGCAGCUGCAGAGCCCAGAGUCAGUGCCUCUGCUGUCAUCCCACCCAGCUCCAGGUCCCAGCAAGGGUGGAGGGCACCCCAGAGCGGAGCACGGAGCCCAGCUGAGGCCUGUCUCAGUCGCAUCCUCCCUGGCCCUCCCUGCACCCAAGCAGAGGGAGCCAAGGCCACUCUCCAUGGCUGCCCCUCAGUGCUCUGGAUCCAUGGCUAUUUUUAACCUGAGUAUGGUAAAUGCAUUUCUACAGGAAAACCACUCUCCUCGAUCAAUCCCUGCAGCUGCUUGGCGUGGAUGGCAGGGCGCACUCGCAGCCCGACUGCUCCUGUCCGGGCCACUGAGGACUGUAACUGAAGCUCAUCAGCUGACCAGGAGGACAGUUUUAGGUUCACAGAAGAAUGGAGUGCACGGAAAGCUCCCAAGUGCCUUUUCCCGAUUACUGCAGCCUCCAGUUGGUGGGGUGCGUUGGUUAUCACGGAUGAGUUGAUGCUGAUACACAGCAUGAUGCCUGCAGGUCGGACGUCGCUCUUGAUGCUGCACGUUCUGUGGGUUUGAACGACUCUGUGAAGUCCUGUACCCACCAUCACUUCUGCACCACAGGGAAGAUUUCCACCGCCCUGAACACCCUGCCCUUGCUUCCCUCCCACGAACUCCUGGAAACCUCUGAUCUUUUCACUGUGUCCAUAGUUUUGCCUUUACUACAAUGCGGUGUUUGGGAUCGCCCAGCAUGUGGCGUUUUUGGAUUGGCUCCUUCCAAUUAGCAACAGCAUUUUUCCCUGUGACUUCUCAUGGCUUGAAGGCUCAUUUUUUUUUUAACACUCAAUAUUAUUCAUUGUUCAGAUGAAGCAGUCACCACCCGAAGCACUUCCCGGCUGCUUCCAAGUGCUGGUAAAAUGACGAAUAAAGCUG